AUUGAGACUUCGGUGGAUCUGAUCUAUUUCUAGUGGCGGACGGGUGAGUAACGCGUGGGUAACCUGCCUUAUACAGGGGGAUAACAGUCAGAAAUGGCUGCUAAUACCGCAUAAGCGCACAGAGCUGCAUGGCUCAGUGUGAAAAACUCCGGUGGUAUAAGACGGACCCGCGUUGGAUUAGCUUGUUGGCGGGGUAACGGCCCACCAAGGCGACGAUCCAUAGCCGGCCUGAGAGGGUGAACGGCCACAUUGGGACUGAGACACGGCCCAGACUCCUACGGGAGGCAGCAGUGGGGAAUAUUGCACAAUGGGGGAAACCCUGAUGCAGCGACGCCGCGUGAAGGAAGAAGUAUCUCGGUAUGUAAACUUCUAUCAGCAGGGAAGAUAGUGACGGUACCUGACUAAGAAGCCCCGGCUAACUACGUGCCAGCAGCCGCGGUAAUACGUAGGGGGCAAGCGUUAUCCGGAUUUACUGGGUGUAAAGGGAGCGUAGACGGUGUGGCAAGUCUGAUGUGAAAGGCAUGGGCUCAACCUGUGGACUGCAUUGGAAACUGUCAUACUUGAGUGCCGGAGGGGUAAGCGGAAUUCCUAGUGUAGCGGUGAAAUGCGUAGAUAUUAGGAGGAACACCAGUGGCGAAGG
rnacentral:rRNA from 1 species